rnacentral:rRNA from 1 species
UACGAAGGGGGCGAGCGUUGUUCGGAUUUACUGGGCGUAAAGGGCGCGCAGGCGGCUAUCCAAGUCAGGCGUGAAAGCCCCGGGCUUAACCUGGGAGGUGCGUCUGGGACUGGGUGGCUAGAGUUCGGGAGAGGAGAGUGGAAUUCCCAGUGUAGAGGUGAAAUUCGUAGAUAUUCGCAAGAACACCAGUGGCGAAGGCGGCUCACUGGCCCGAUACUGACGCUGAGGUGCGAAAGCGUGGGGAGCAAACAGG